AGCGGAGGGAUCAUUACUG
rnacentral:rRNA from 1 species